rnacentral:rRNA from 1 species
GGCGCAAGCCUGAUCCAGCAAUACCGCGUGUGUGAAGAAGGCCCUAGGGUUGUAAAGCACUUUCAAUAGGGAGGAAAACCUGCCGGUCAAUACCCGGUAGCUUGACAUUACCUAUAGAAGAAGCACCGGCUAACUCCGUGCCAGCAGCCGCGGUAAUACGGAGGGUGCAAGCGUUAAUCGGAAUUACUGGGCGUAAAGCGUGCGUAGGCGGUUCGUUAAGUCAGAUGUGAAAGCCCCGGGCUUAACCUGGGAACUGCAUUUGAAACUGGCGGACUUGAGUUGAGUAGAGGGGAGUGGAAUUUCAGGUGUAGCGGUGAAAUGCGUAGAUAUCUGAAGGAACACCAGUGGCGAAGGCGACUCCCUGGACUCAAACUGACGCUGAGGUACGAAAGCGUGGGUAGCAAACAGGAUUAGAUACCCUGGUAGUCCACGCUGUAAACGAUGUCAACUAGCCGUUGGUUCUCUUUACAGAAUUAGUGGCGCAGCUAACGCAUUAAGUUGACCGCCUGGGGAG